rnacentral:rRNA from 1 species
UACGUAAGGGGGCUAGCGUUGCUCGGAAUCACUGGGCGUAAAGCGCACGUAGGCGGAUCUUUAAGUCAGGGGUGAAAUCCCAAGGCUCAACCUUGGAACUGCCUUUGAUACUGGGGAUCUCGAGUCCGGAAGAGGUGAGUGGAACUGCGAGUGUAGAGGUGAAAUUCGUAGAUAUUCGCAAGAACACCAGUGGCGAAGGCGGCUCACUGGUCCGGUACUGACGCUGAGGUGCGAAAGCGUGGGGAGCGAACAGG